AAAAAGAUAAGCUAAACGAAGCUAUUAGGUUCAUACCCUAAACAUAGAAUUAAUAUUCUUCUUUUUA
rnacentral:tRNA from 1 species